ensembl:lncRNA
UUUUCUUAAAUAAAAGUAUCACGGAUUACUCAGAUCUAAUCUCAUUAGAUUUAAAAAAAACUAUAUUCAAAUCUUGAGCAUCAAAAAAAUAAACGUUCUAUUUUUGAAAGUAUAAAAAAUAAAUUAUAUUUUUUUUUCAAAAGAUUGUGAUGCCUGUAAUUCUCCUACUUUUAACAGUAAUAAUUUUUAUAAAAUCGGGUGUAUAUAAAAUAAAGUCACGCGUGUAGGCUUAUACUGCACACACACACACAUAUAUAUAUAUAUAUAUAUAUAUAUAUAUACAUACAUAUACGUAGAAACAGAAACAUACCGAACAAAAAUUAUAUAAUUAAAAUAUACUGUGCAAACUAACACUCAAAAAAAAAAAAAAAAAAAAAAAAAAAAAUGUAUUAUUACUGUUUCUUUUUUUUUUUUUUUUUUCAGAUUCUAUCAUAUAUCCUCACUGUAAUGAUAUUUUAUGUAUCCAUUGUUAUAAGAAUAAUCUGUGUGACUGUAAAUAUGAGUAUGUAUCAAAUAAUGAAAAAAAAAAAAAAAAGAAAAAAAAAAAAGCAUAACACAUAAACCAUAAAAUUGUGUUAUAUGAAGAUAUAAAUUUUUACAUAAUAUGUUGUAUGAAAUAUAUAUUUGCACCUUACGAAUAACUAUUGCACAUUUAUACGUGUAUAUGAUUAAAUGUUUGCAUAUAUUUCGUUUAAUUGUUUUUUAGAAUUGCUUUAAAAAGAUAUACAUUUCUAGAGAUGAUGGAAAUUUUAACCUUUCUUAUUCACCAUGCUAAUAAAAUAAAAGGGAGUAAUGAAAAGGCAAUUUCGUUUGAUGACAUUCCAACAUACAACUCUUUGAAAGCGCUUGAAAAAACAAAUUCAGCGAGGCUAUACUAUUUUAUUAGUAUACUUAAAAAGAAAGAGAGAGAUGGAACGAACGGGUUAAAUCCAUAUGAUGAUUUGGAAAAAUAUUGUAAAAAAAGAAUUAUUGAAAUAAAUGAAAAUAAAAAAAAAAAAAAAAGGAAGAAAAAGAAAAAAACAUUCAAGUGACGAAGAAGAUAUAGUUUUAGAAAAUUAUAACUUAAAUUUAAUUCAUUUCAAAACUAAACUAACUUUAAAAUAUUUAUUUUUAACUUAUGAGGAAGAAAUAAAAGAUGAUUCUUUAAAAUUUUUACCGAAAAU